rnacentral:rRNA from 1 species
UACGGAGGAUCCGAGCGUUAUCCGGAUUUAUUGGGUUUAAAGGGUGCGUAGGUGGCCUGUUAAGUCAGGGGUGAAAGACGGUAGCUCAACUAUCGCAGUGCCCUUGAUACUGAUGGGCUUGAAUGAACUAGAGGUAGGCGGAAUGUAACAAGUAGCGGUGAAAUGCAUAGAUAUGUCACAGAACACCAAUUGCGAAGGCAGCUUACUAUGGUUUUAUUGACACUGAGGCACGAAAGCGUGGGGAUCAAACAGG